UACGUAGGGUCCGAGCGUUGUCCGGAAUUAUUGGGCGUAAAGGGCUCGUAGGCGGUCUGUUGCGUCGGGAGUGAAAACUUACAGCUUAACUGUGAGCGUGCUUUCGAUACGGGCAGACUUGAGGCAUUCAGGGGAGAACGGAAUUCCUGGUGUAGCGGUGAAAUGCGUAGAUAUCUGGAGGAACACCGGUGGCGAAGGCGGCAUUCUGGACCAUUACUGACGCUGAGGAGCGAAAGCCAGGGGAGCAAACGGG
rnacentral:rRNA from 1 species